CCUACGGGAGGCAGCAGUGAGGAAUAUUGGUCAAUGGACGAGAGUCUGAACCAGCCAAGUAGCGUGAAGGAUGACUGCCCUAUGGGUUGUAAACUUCUUUUAUAUGGGAAUAAAAUGUUCCACGUGUGGGAUUUUGUAUGUACCAUAUGAAUAAGGAUCGGCUAACUCCGUGCCAGCAGCCGCGGUAAUACGGAGGAUCCGAGCGUUAUCCGGAUUUAUUGGGUUUAAAGGGAGCGUAGGUGGAUUGUUAAGUCAGUUGUGAAAGUUUGCGGAUCAACCGUAAAAUUGCAGUUGAAACUGGCAGUCUUGAGUACAGUAGAGGUGGGCGGAAUUCGUGGUGUAGCGGUGAAAUGCUUAGAUAUCACGAAGAACUCCGAUGGCGAAGGCAGUUCACUGGACUGCAACUGACACUGAGGCUCGAAAGUGUGGGUAUCAAACAGGAUUAGAUACCCCUGUAGUC
rnacentral:rRNA from 1 species